UCCCGUUGAUCCUGCGGGAGGUUGCUGCUAUCGGGGUCAGAUUAAGGCAUGCAAGUUUGCUCGAUUCGUCGGGCGGCAGAAGGCUGAGUAACACGUUGAUAACUUCCCCUAUGGUCUAGGAUAGCCUUGCGAAAGUGAGGGUAAGACUGGAUAGGAGAUCGGUACUGGAAUGUCCUUUCUCCUAAAGGUAACGCCAUAGGAUAGGUCUGCGGUGGAUUAGGUAGUUGGCGGGGUAAUGGCCCACCAAGCCGAAGAUCCAUAGGGGUCCUGAGAGGGAUAGCCCCCAGAAGGACACUGAGAUACGGGUCCUAGCCCCACGGGGUGCAGCAGCCGCGAAACCUUUCCAAUGCACGCAAGUGUGAGAAGGUAACUCCGAGUGCUCAUGUUUUACAUGGGCUUUUGCCAAGGGUAAAUACCUUGGCGAAUAAGUGGUGGGUAAGACGGGUGCCAGCCGCCGCGGUAACACCCGCGCCACGAGUGGGAACCGCAUUAUUGGGUCUAAAGCGUCCGUAGCCGGCUCUGUAGAUUUUCUGUGAAAUUGUGUCGCUUAACGAUACAGCGGGCAGGAACGACCGCAGAGCUUGGAACCAGGAGAGGUUUGAAGUAUUCUUGGGGGAGCGGUAAAAUGUUAUAAUCCCAAGAGGACUACCGAUGGCGAAGGCAUCAAACCAGAAUGGGUUCGACGGUGAGGGACGAAAGCCAGGGGAGCGAUCCGGAUUAGAUACCCCGAGGUAGUCCCUGCCCUAAACGCUGCAAGCUAGGUGUUGCAGAAUCCCACGCGAUUUCUGCAGUGUCGUAGUGAAGAUGUUAAGCUUGCCCACCUGGGAAGUACGUUCGCAAGAAUGAAACUUAAAGGAAUUGGCGGGGGAGCACCACAAGGGGUGCGGCGUGCGGUUUAAUCGAACUCAACGCCGAGAAUCUCACCAGGAGCGACGGCAGGAUGAUAGACAGUCUGAAGGGCUUUCUUGACGAGCCGAGAGGUGGUGCAUGGCCGGCGUCAGCUCGUGCCGUAAGGUGUUCAGCUAAGUCUGACAACGAGCGAGACCUGCACUUUUAAUUGCUAACGGCGGAAUUUCCGGACUGAGCACAUUAAAAGGACUGCCCGGGAAACUGGGAGGAAGGUGCAGGCUACGCUAGGUCUGUAUGCCCCGAAUCUUCUGGGCCACACGCGCGCAACAAUGGCCGGGACAAUGGGAUACGACUCCGAAAGGAGAAGUUAAUCCUCUAAACCCGGUCCUAGUACAGAUUGAGGGUUGCAACUCACCCUCAUGACGUUGGAAUCCCUAGUAAUCGGAGUUUAUCAUACUCCGGUGAAUAUGUCCCUGCUCCUUGCACUCACCGCCCGU
rnacentral:rRNA from 1 species